AUGGGCCAAAUGGCCAUCGCAACCGCUACAUCAGGUAUUGUGGCAUCGAUAAUGCCUGGAAGACGAACAGCACACUCCAGGUUCAAAAUACCAAUCAAGCUCACCGACAACAGCAUGUGUAGUUUCACAAAGCAGAGUGGUACAACUGAGUUGCUUAAGCAAGCGUCCUUGAUAAUUUGGGAUGAAUGUGCUAUGACGAAACGUCAAGCAGUUGAGAUGCUUGAUAGAUCACUACGGGAUAUAAUGGAAAGUCGUUUGCCGUUUGGGGAAAGGUUGUCGUAUUUGGUGGUGACUUCAGGCAGGUCCUUCCUGUUGUGA
rnacentral:rRNA from 1 species